rnacentral:rRNA from 1 species
GCGCGUGUGUUAGUGGAACGGUCUGGAAAGUCCGGCAGUACAGGGUGAUAGUCCCGUACACUAAAAUGCACACGUUGUGAACUCGAAGAGUAGGGCGGGACACGUGGUAUCCUGUCUGAAUAUGGGGGGACCAUCCUCCAAGGCUAAAUACUCCUGACUGACCGAUAGUGAACCAGUACCGUGAGGGAAAGGCGAAAAGAACCCCGGCGAGGGGAGUGAAAAAGAACCUGAAACCGUGUACGUACAAGCAGUGGGAGCCUCUUUAUGGGGUGACUGCGUACCUUUUGUAUAAUGGGUCAGCGACUUAUAUUCUGUAGCAAGGUUAACCGUAUAGGGGAGCCGCAGGGAAACCGAGUCUUAACUGGGCGUUAAGUUGCAGGGUAUAGACCCGAAACCCGGUGAUCUAGCCAUGGGCAGGUUGAAGGUUGGGUAACACUAACUGGAGGACCGAACCGACUAAUGUUGAAAAAUUAGCGGAUGACUUGUGGCUGGGGGUGAAAGGCCAAUCAAACCGGGAGAUAGCUGGUUCUCCCCGAAAGCUAUUUAGGUAGCGCCUCGUGAACUCAUCUUCGGGGGUAGAGCACUGUUUCGGCUAGGGGGUCAUCCCGACUUACCAACCCGAUGCAAACUACGAAUACCGAAGAAUGUUAUCACGGGAGACACACGGCGGGUGCUAACGUCCGUCGUGAAGAGGGAAACAACCCAGACCGCCAGCUAAGGUCCCAAAGUCAUGGUUAAGUGGGAAACGAUGUGGGAAGGCCCAGACAGCCAGGAUGUUGGCUUAGAAGCAGCCAUCAUUUAAAGAAAGCGUAAUAGCUCACUGGUCGAGUCGGCCUGCGCGGAAGAUGUAACGGGGCUAAACCAUGCACCGAAGCUGCGGCAGCGACACUAUGUGUUGUUGGGUAGGGGAGCGUUCUGUAAGCCUGUGAAGGUGUACUGUGAGGUAUGCUGGAGGUAUCAGAAGUGCGAAUGCUGACAUAAGUAACGAUAAAGCGGGUGAAAAGCCCGCUCGCCGGAAGACCAAGGGUUCCUGUCCAACGUUAAUCGGGGCAGGGUGAGUCGACCCCUAAGGCGAGGCCGAAAGGCGUAGUCGAUGGGAAACAGGUUAAUAUUCCUGUACUUGGUGUUACUGCGAAGGGGGGACGGAGAAGGCUAUGUUAGCCGGGCGACGGUUGUCCCGGUUUAAGCAUGUAGGCGGGAAGUUUAGGUAAAUCCGGACUUCUUUUAACGCUGAGGUGUGAUGACGAGGCACUACGGUGCUGAAGUAACAAAUGCCCUGCUUCCAGGAAAAGCCUCUAAGCAUCAGGUAACAACGAAUCGUACCCCAAACCGACACAGGUGGUCAGGUAGAGAAUACCAAGGCGCUUGAGAGAACUCGGGUGAAGGAACUAGGCAAAAUGGUGCCGUAACUUCGGGAGAAGGCACGCUGAUAUGUAGGUGAAGUCCCUCGCGGAUGGAGCUGAAAUCAGUCGAAGAUACCAGCUGGCUGCAACUGUUUAUUAAAAACACAGCACUGUGCAAACACGAAAGUGGACGUAUACGGUGUGACGCCUGCCCGGUGCCGGAAGGUUAAUUGAUGGGGUUAGCGCAAGCGAAGCUCUUGAUCGAAGCCCCGGUAAACGGCGGCCGUAACUAUAACGGUCCUAAGGUAGCGAAAUUCCUUGUCGGGUAAGUUCCGACCUG